rnacentral:tRNA from 1 species
GUCGGGGUAGCCAAGCCUGGUAUGGCGUCAGCCUGCUAAGCUGAUGGUCUUUUGACCGCACGGGUUCAAAUCCCGUCCCCGACG